AAUAUUGGACACUGGGGGCAACCCUGAUCCAGCCAUGCAGCGUGGGUGAAGAAGGUCUUCGGAUUGUAAAGCACUUUAAGUUGGGAGGAAGGGCUUUAGGUUAAUACACUGAAGUUUUGACGUUACCAACAGAAUAAUCCCCUGCUAACUUGGUGUCAGCAGCCGCGGUAAUACAGAGGGUGCAAGCGUGAACUGGAAGUACUGGGCGUAAAGCGCGCGUAGGUGGUUCAGUAAGAUGGGUGUGAAAUCCCCGGGCUUAACCUGGGAACUGCUUUCAUAACUGCUGAGCUAGAGUACGGUAGAGGGUAGUGGAAUUUCCUGUGUAGCGGUGAAAUGCGUAGAUAUAGGAAGGAACACCAGUGGCGAAGGCGACUACCUGGACUGAUACUGACACUGAGGUGCGAAAGCGUGGGGAGCAAACAG
rnacentral:rRNA from 1 species